AGAGUCUGAUCCUGGCUCAAGAUGAACACUGGCGGCAUGCUUAACACAUGCAAGUCGAACGAGAUAUGGUUUUUCCAAUGAUAGAUUGGUGAGGAAGGCGUAAGAACCUACCCUUGGGAGGGGAACAAUAUCUAGAAACGGUUGUUAAUACCCCAUAGGCUAAGGAACAAAAGGAGGAAUCUGCCCAAGGAGGGGCUCGCGUCUGAUUAGCUAGUUGGUAAGGCAAAGGCUUACCAAAGCGAUGAUCAGCAGCUGGUCCAAGAGGAUGGUCAGCCACACUAGGACUAAGACACGAUCCAGACUCCUACAGGUAGCAGCAGUGGAGAAUUUUCCUUGUUGUGUGAAAGCCUGAUUGAGUAAUGUUGUGUAGAGGUAGAAGGCCCACAGGUCAUGAACUUCUUUUCUUAGAGAAGAUGCAAUGGUGGUAUUUGAGGAAUAAGCAUCGACUAACUCUGUGCCAACAGCCAUGGUAAGGCAGAGUAUUAUCUGGAAUAAUUGGGUGUAAAGCAUAUGUAGGUGGCUUUUUAUGCUAGGGCUCAACCCUGGACAUGUAGUGGAAACUACAAAGCUGGAGUGUGAUUGGGGCAGAGGGAAUUUUUGGUAGAGCGAUGAAAUGCGUAGUGAUCGGAAAAAACAUCAACAACAAAAGCCCUAUCAUGGGCCGACACUGACACUAAUAGAUGAAAGCUAGGAGAGCAAAUGGGAUUAGAUGCCCCAGUAGUCCUAGCUAUAAACGAUGGGUACUAGGCGUUGUGCCUAUCGACCCAGCCAAUAUUGUAGCUAAUGCAUUAAGAAUCCUACCUUGGGAAUAUGUUUGCAAGAAUGAAACUUGAAGGAAUUGGCGGGGGCUUGUACAAGUGGUGGAGCAUGUAGUUUAAUUCGAUGUAAAAUGAAGAACCUUACCAGGGCUUGACAUGUCGCUAAUCCUCUUGAAAGAGAGGUGUGCCCUCUGGAACGCGGACACAAGAGGUGCAUGGAUGUCGUUAGCUCAUGCCGUAAGAUGUUGGGUUAAGUCCCAUAACAAGAGCAACCCUUAUGUUUAGUUGCCACCAUUGAGUUUGGAACCUUGAACAGACUGCUGGUGAUAAGCCGGAGGAAGGUGAGAAUGAUGACAAGUCAUCAUGCCCCUAAUGGGGCGACACACGUGUUAUAAUGGGCAUGACAAAAGGUCGUGAUCUCGCAAGGAUGAGCUAACUCUAAAAACCCAUUCUUAGUUUGGAUUACAGGCUGUAACUUGCUUGCAUGAAGUUAGAAUCACUAGUAAUCACCAAUCAGCCAUAUGGUGAUGAAUUCAUCCCUAGGCCUUGUACACACCGCCCAUUACACUAUAUAUGGAAGCUGGCCAUGCCCAAAGUUGUUACCUUAACCGCAAGGAGGGGGAUGCCAAAGGCGAGACUAGU
rnacentral:rRNA from 1 species